rnacentral:rRNA from 1 species
CCUACGGGUGGCAGCAGUGGGGAAUUUUGGACAAUGGGCGCAAGCCUGAUCCAGCUAUUCCGCGUGUGGGAUGACGGCCUUCGGGUUGUAAACCACUUUUUUAGAGAACGAAAAGUCUGUUGAUAAUACCCAUAGAUGAUGACGGUACUCUAAGAAUAAGCACCGGCUAACUACGUGCCAGCAGCCGCGGUAAUACGUAGGGGGCAAGCGUUAUCCGGAUUUUCUGGGUGUAAAGGGGGCGCAGACGGCGGUGGAAGCCAGGAGUGAAAGCCCCGGGCCCAACCCCGGGACUGCGGUUGGAACUGAGUGGCUUGAGUGCAGGAGGGGCAAGCGGAAUGCGUGGUGUAGCGGUGAAAUGCGUAGAUAUCAGGAGGAACACCGGUGGCGAAGGCGGCCUGCUGGAGUGCAACUGACGUUGAGGCCCGAAAGCGUGGGGAGCAAACAGGAUUAGAUACCCUUGUAGUC